UCUCCGUAGGUGAACCUGCGGAGGGAUCAUUACUGAGUGAGGGCUCCGGCCCGACCUCCAACCCCAUGUGAACCGAAACCUGUUGCUUCGGGGGCGACCCCGCCUUCGUGCGAGGCGCCCCCGGAGGCUCAUCAAACACUGCAUCCUUGCGUCGGAGUCUUAAAGAAAUUUAAACAAAACUUUCAACAACGGAUCUCUUGGUUCUGGCAUCGAUGAAGAACGCAGC
rnacentral:misc_RNA from 1 species